CCAACUCCACCAAGCCCACUUGAACCACCGAGCCCACUAGCACCACCGAGGCCACCGACUCCACCAAUUCCUCCAAGCCCACCAGCACCACCGAGGCCAGUAAUCCCACCAAGACCUCCAACUCCACCAAACGGAAGCCCAUUAGAACCAAUGCCGGAGAAGCCACCAACACCACCGUAUGUUAGAAAGUUCUUUUGAUCAUCAAGGCCAGCAUCAGUGGGCGCACUUUUGGCAGUGUUAUGAACCACUUGAUCAUCAUGAUCACUAGGCGUAUUUCUUGCACUAGUGUGAACCGCUGCUACAGCAAGAACAAGCAUGACAUUGGCACACCACUUUGCCAUCUCUCUCAAAGAUUAUUAUUAUUUGAUUACUAUUAUGAAUUUUUCUUCUUAGUACAUGUGAACUAUUGUUGCGGGAGUCUCCUUAUAAAGGCUAAGAGGGCAUUGGGGAGGUAGUUGUGGGUAGUAAAUAGAAUUGAAUGCGGGCAACUUAGCUGGCACACUCGCUCAUAAGGUCUGCUGUUUGAAAUAUAUAUUUUCAAGGAUUUGUGCUUAGAGUAAAAUUGUUAUAGGAGUCAUCGUAAUGGUUUAAACGCCUGCUGUACGGCCAAGGCGGAUGUACGGUACAGCAGAAAUUUUGUUUUCAGAAGUACUGCAAGUUUUAAAAACAAUUAUGGACGUUUGAUAAAUUUUACUAUUAAACUGCUGAGAGUAAGUAAAUGAUUAAAAUAUAAAUAAUAUAGGAUAAAAUUUACUUAUACAUGUGAAAACACGUACACACAAUAUUUUUAAUUUUGUAUGAUGAUAAUUUUAACUAAAAAUAAAAUUUAUAAUAUAUAUUGAUUUUAUUUUUUAUCGUAAACAAUUGAUAAUUAAAUUUAUAAUAUAGUGAAACAAAUUUAAUAAUAAAUCGACCAACAAAUAUUGAUGAAUCAUAAUAAAAAUUUACUAAAAUAUUGGUUUUGUUUCCAAUUGAAUAAGAAUAAUUUUGGGUUUAGGUAAUAAUUUUAAAGAUAUUGAUGGAAUUGUAUUAAAGGAUAAAAUUGAUUUUUAAAAUCAGAAUCUAAAAGCUACUUCUUACUUACUUUUCAAAAUCAUCUGUAGUAGAGGCUGAUUUUGACAAAAGUGAUUUUGAUUUUUUUUUUUUACCAAACACUAAAAUUAACUUUUAGAUUUUUAAAAUUAGUUUUAAAUCUCCUAAAAGCAAUCCCAAAUAGAGCCUAACUCUAUUAUAAAUUCUUAAUUAAUAGCUCAUCUAAUAUUUGGUGUUAAAACAUGGACAAAAUAUCACAAAUUGGUAGGUAAAUUUGGACAUUUCAUUUCCACGACAUAUAGUCAAGUUUAAGGCUGUGGCCCGACAAAUUAAUGACCUUACUUUGCUUAGUGUAACGUAAUGCAUGAGCUUCGAUAACUUCAUAUGUAAACUUUAGUUGCUUUCGUUAAAGUUCUAUAACAUCAGUCAUCUCCAUUUAAAAGACAGAAGAAGAAGAAGAUAAAACACGCGAUUUAAUUAUUUACGUCGAAUAUCUCUGAAGUAGAGAAUUACAUUACAAUAACAUACCAAAAGCUCUCAAAACUAAAACUCAAAAGCAAACAGUAACUGAAACCAAAGUAAACGAACUAUCACACGAACAUGGCAUUAAAACUAAACUUUCUUAAUAACGCGCACGGGAAUAACGUGCACGGGAAACCCUCAAACAGGAAAAACCUUGAUUAAUUAAAAGCAAGUAAAGAAGCCCUAAUGUCUUCUAAGGCUCCAACUAUUUCAAGGGAAAGGAAGCACUCCAGUGCCAAUGCCAACUCCACCGGCAGAACCACCACCAACGCCGCCACCAGCACCACCUCCAACGCCGCCGCCACCGCCAACGCCGCCACCCACGCCACCAACUCCACCAAGCCCACUUGAACCACCGAGCCCACUAGCACCACCGAGGCCACCGACUCCACCAAUUCCUCCAAGCCCACCAGCACCACCGAGGCCAGUAAUCCCACCAAGACCUCCAACUCCACCAAACGGAAGCCCAUUAGAACCAAUGCCGGAGAAGCCACCAACACCACCGUAUGUUAGAAAGUUCUUUUGAUCAUCAAGGCCAGCAUCAGUGGGCGCACUUUUGGCAGUGUUAUGAACCACUUGAUCAUCAUGAUCACUAGGCGUAUUUCUUGCACUAGUGUGAACCGCUGCUACAGCAAGAACAAGCAUGACAUUGGCACACCACUUUGCCAUCUCUCUCAAAGAUUAUUAUUAUUUGAUUACUAUUAUGAAUUUUUCUUCUUAGUACAUGUGAACUAUUGUUGCGGGAGUCUCCUUAUAAAGGCUAAGAGGGCAUUGGGGAGGUAGUUGUGGGUAGUAAAUAGAAUUGAAUGCGGGCAACUUAGCUGGCACACUCGCUCAUAAGGUCUGCUGUUUGAAAUAUAUAUUUUCAAGGAUUUGUGCUUAGAGUAAAAUUGUUAUAGGAGUCAUCGUAAUGGUUUAAACGCUUGGGGUACCAGCUGAAAGAAAGUUACUGCGAUGGCCAGAGUGGCAAAUGCAGAAAUAAACAUGCAUGCCAGAUAUGGUGGUGACAAAUGAAAUGCUGAUUAGGGAUGUGGCGUUCGGGCAUGUGAUAUGCAGAGAAACAUUUGCCCAACCAAUCAAGUAAUUACAUUUGGUUGGAAGAAAAGGGCCGAUGUGAAGUGAUUGACUCAAUUCUGGGCAUUAUUAAUUUCCUGGACCAUUUCCAAUGACAUGAAAAAUUUUAAACUGUGUGUGACAAGGAACCUUACCUUUUGAGUUUUGAGAGGAAAUGCAAAUCCUAAUUAAGCUGUGAAAAAGUAAAAUUAAAUGUUCUUGCGUUGCGGAGAAUUAAGUAAAAAGUCAUCGAGCCUUUUCACUGAGCUGUAGUCCAUAACUCAUAAUACGUAGUAGCACGUGGUCAAUUCUAAACAUCAAUUUUUUUUUAUUAAAAAAAACUCUAAACAUUGAAUUAAUUUGCAAGAAAUAUUUCUUUUUUUUUUUUCAUCUUGGUAUUAGACUUCUAUAUCAAACAUUUUCUACUGUCAUUAUACUUUUUAUUCUACUAAUUAAUUUGCUUAUCUAAUCUAAAAGAAAAAAAAUUCUUAUCUCAACUAAAUUUGCGUGUUUUGGUUACUUUACUCACUCACUUUGUCAAUCUAGUUUUCUCUAACUAAAGACUUUUAGUUAACAUGUACUGACACAUUAAUUUAAUGGUAAAAUCUGUCCAAUCCUUUGGGACCAUCGUAAUUCAAGAGUUUGGAAAAAGUUAAACACUAUUUGCACACAAAAUUAUAAAUAAAAAUGAAUUAAUAAAUUUGUACAAUUUUAUAUGCAAGUAGCAUUACUCAUGGCAAAAUUUGAAGCAGUUAAUGGUUUUAUAUAGGGUAAGUUGAUUAUUAAAGAAUUAGAUUGUUUUGUUAAAUCUGAUUGGUGGUUAUUAAAUAUAAAGUUUCCAUUCAAUAUUUUAAUUUACUGUUGAGUUGCAUUAAAUAUUGGUUGGUCAAUGGAAGUCAGCUGCUAAAUUCAAUGUCGACCUACAUUCAAUCUCUACCUAACAAGUUUAAUUUGGGAUCGGAUACCUGCACAUUCUAAGUCCACCCCAAAUAUUACACUCCACCAUUCCCAACUCUUUACACCUAAAUUGAGAAAAUCGUUUGGAGAAAAUAUUGGUCAACACUAAUUGAAUCGUUGACUUAAACUAUAGGAAAUAAUAGAACAUUUACAACUGAGAAAAGUUUAGUAACACGACACAUAAAUUCUCCACCAGUUUUAUUUUUUCCUCUAUGUAUAGUAGUGUCUUUCAGCUAUAGGAUCAUUUUUCUAAUAUAUAAAUUAUCAUUAAAAUACAUGCUUAUUGAUAACGUAUUAUCAGUUUUGAUAUUCAGUUAUUGAUUCACCGAUCAUCCAAUUGAAGAAACGUGUUUUCAUUUCUUGAAUAAAACAUUAUACACUGAGAGUUAUUUAUAGAUGCAGAUGCUACAUUUUUUCAAAGAUUACAUAUGUAAAUACGGAAGGAAAUAGGUCUGUGUUGUGCGCGAGAGCUGGGCUGACGCUGGUGCUGCGUUGCGUUGCGCGCGCGGGACUGAUGUACUGCGCGAGGGUGAUUGCUGGAUUGAUUUGCGCUGUGCGCGCGAGCUGGAGCUGAGGAUCUGCGUUGCUAGGCGUUACUGCUGCUGCUUCGCGGGAUGUGUUGCGUGCACGGUUGCUGCUGAUUUCGCACAAUGGUGAUGGCUGGGGCUUGCUGCGUUGCACGCGGCUGCUUUCGCUGGUGGGACUUCGUUGCGCGCUGCUGGGCUGCGAGACACGGGAUGCUGGUGUUGCGCUCACGAGAUGGUGCGUUUUCCGGCGGGCUGGUUUGCUGCUGGUGUGCUGCAAGCGGCUGGAGAAGAAAACAAGUUCUGGAAAAUUAGGGAUUUUGUGAACAGUGAAUAGUGAACAGUGAUUUUCGAUUUUUGGUUUUUUUUUAAAUAAAUAAACAUAAUCAUUAAAGAACAUAUAUGGGAAUUAAAUAAAUAAAUAAAAUAAUUAUUUCAUUGAAUAGGGUUUCAUCUUUAACCUCAGUAUAAGAAAAUUAGCUGGACAUACUUAAAUUGGGAGCAACAAAAAAAAUAAAAUCAGCCAUGGGAAGCCGAAAUAUUGCUGCUGCAACUGGUCUCUUCCAACCUGACAUACUUGAAUUGGGAGCAACAAAAGAAAUAAAAUCAGCCAUGGGAAGCUUCCUUUUCCAAUUAUGAAACAAAGCUUCCAUAAUAACGCCAGCCAUUAAUUCCACUUUUGAAAGUCAAGUGUGGGCCCCAUUUAAAUUGCUUUCCCCUUUUGCAAUGCUAUGGACGUGCAACUCAAUUGGAGAAUUGAAAUUCUUUUUCAAUGCAAAUUGCUCUUAGCUCUUAACUCUAUCACAGCUUCAACUAAUAUUUCUCUAAAUUAUUAUUUUUUUUGCACUUUUUAUUUCCAAUCUCCAAUUAAUUUCCUAUUCAAUAAAACAAUUCAAUUAAUUAAAAAUAACAAAUAAAAUUAACUAGCAAAUAUACAAUAAAGGGUAAAAUAUGUAUAUAAAUUAUGCUCAUCACAUUGCUUAAUAUUUAUUAUUAUGGUUGGUUGAAUUAUAUACAUGGCAAUUAAUGAAUGAAAAUACAGGUGCUCCUGAAUCCCAAAACAUUUCCACGACAUAUAGUCAAGUUUAAGGCUGUGGCCCGACAAAUUAAUGACCUUACUUUGCUUAGUGUAACAUAAUGCAUGAGCUUCGAUAACUUCAUAUGUAAACUUUAGUUGCUUUAGCUAAGGUUCUAUAACAUCAGUCAUCUCCAUUUAAAAGACAGAAGAAGAAGAUAAAACACGCGAUUAAAUUAUUUACGUCGAAUAUCUCUGAAGUAGAGAAUUACAUUACGAUAACAUACCAGAAGCUCUCAAAGCUAAAAAUCAAAAGCAAACAGUAACUGAAGCCGAAGUAAACGAACUAUCACACGAACAUGACAUUAAACUAAACUUUCUUAAUAACGUGCACGGGAAACCCUCAAACAGGAAAAACCUUGAUUAAUUAAAAGCAAGUAAAGAAGCCCUAAUGUCUUCUAAGGCUCCAACUAUUUCAAUGGAAAGGAAGCACUCCGGUGCCAGUGCCAACUCCACCGGCAGAACCACCACCAACGCCGCCACCAGCACCACCGCCAACGCCGCCACCCACGCCACCAACUCCACCAAGCCCACUUGAACCACCGAGACCACCGACUCCACCAAUUCCUCCAAGCCCACCAGCACCACCGAGGCCAGUAACGCCAGCAAGACCUCCAACUCCACCAAGCGGAAGCCCAUUAGAACCAAUGCCGGAGAAGCCACUGACACCACCGUAUGUUAGAAAGUUCUUUUGAUCAUCAAGGCCAGCACCAGAGGGUGCAUUUUUGGCAGCGUUAUGAACCACUUGAUCAUCAUGAUCACUAGGCGUGUUUCUUGCACUAGUGUGAACCGCUACUACAGCAAGAACAAGCAUGACAGUGAC
rnacentral:lncRNA from 1 species